UUUAAUUAUUUGGAGCUAUAUGUAAAUUUUUCCGUUGUGUGCAUUUGUUCUUAUACAUAUCAUAAUUAAAUUUGCGUACGUUGAAAUUGCUAUGGUAACAUUGCAAGAAACACAACUAUACUGAAUUUCGUGCUAAAAUUAUGUACGUUGCAUUUCAAAAACACGCCGUAAAUGAGAUACCUUCACUGCUCAACAUAAUGUCGUAGUAUAUUCAUUCAUUCGCUGCC